rfam:Capsicum annuum cultivar Zunla-1 chromosome 7, whole genome shotgun sequence
AUCUGAUGAUUCGGGCAUUGUGUGAGCUUCUUUUUGAACCUCUCCCAAGUUUCAUGAAGAGCUUCAGCUGAAAACUAUCUAAAAUUACUAAUUUUAUCUCUUAACUU